CUCGCCUGAACCCGAUGAUCCUGUGUUUGCGUUUGAAUCCUGCAAGUAGCGUCAAUCAAGAUUUGAGAGUACUUUGAGGGUGACCUGAAAGAUCGCUGUGGCACCCGGGCCAGACAGAGAGCUGAGCUGUGGGGAGGGACAUCGUGUACCCUGAAAGCCAGCACACAGGCACUGGGCAGAAAACAGACAAGGAGGAGAGGAAGACUGCCUAACUGAGCCCCCAGAUGAUCAGUCUGGAGCUGAGGCCUGGUAACACGUGCACACACAGGCACAAAAUGUAAUUUCCCAUCCAUUGAUUGGUAACAUGUACGAUAUGUUUCAGGGAACCACAUACGUUUGAGGUUAAGGCGAAGCCCAAGAGAAACCCUGUGGAUGUUAACUACCUUACUUCGUCCACCUUAGUGGGGACAGUAAGCCUAUACAGCACAGCUAAACUUGGGGCAGCAGUGCUGAAUGCAGCAAAGGAUGUCAAUCCUGAGGCAAGAGGCAUAGGUUACGGGCGGUGUGACUGCAACCGCUGUGCUUGUGAGGAGGGGUUUAUGGGUUCUGAAUGCGAAUGCUCUUCAGAGGUGGACCGUUGCUGGGAUCUAAACGGAAACCAUGGAAACUGCC
rnacentral:lncRNA from 1 species